rfam:Strigamia maritima strain Brora ctg7180001232382, whole genome shotgun sequence.
GUCAGGAUGGCCGAGUGGUCUAAGGCGCUGCGUUAAGGUCGCAGUCCAGUAUUCUGGGCGUGGGUUCAAAUCCCACUUCUGACA